rnacentral:lncRNA from 1 species
CUCGUCUAAACAUCAACCCAACAAUGUUAGACCUGUAAAUUUGCUUUCGCAAAUUUUUUGUUCUUCCCUCGCCGGGAUUUGAACCCAUGCUACUGAGAUAUCGUGACACCAAAUCGCCUGAACUGUGGCCGUCCCGCUAGACCACAUGACAACCUGGGCUUCAUAAAAAUGAAGCUUUCGGUGGCCAUGUGUUACCUUUCCACGUCAGUUUUAAUCUAGCGUCGUACUACAGUACAUGAUAUAUAAGGCAUGGAGAUGUUAUUUUUACAGAUCAGCUAAAUUAUCUAUAGUAAAGGAUCCUACAAAUUAAUGUAAGAUACAGUCACAGAAAAUAAUUAUAUUUAUAAGUACGUCUGAGCCAG